rnacentral:rRNA from 1 species
GACGAACCUUGCAAACGUUAUUCGGAAUCACUGGGCUUAAAGGGUGCGUAGGCUGUGCAGAAAGUUGGGUGUGAAAUACCUCGGCUUAACCGAGGAAUUGCGCCCAAAACUACUGUGCUCGAGGAAGAUAGAGGUGAGCGGAACUUAGGGUGGAGCGGUGAAAUGCGUUGAUAUCCUAAGGAACACCGGUGGCUAAAGCGGCUCACUGGAUCUUAUCUGACGCUGAGGCACGAAAGCCAGGGUAGCGAACGGG